GCGCAAGAAGCUGUUUCAAGGUAUCGCUAGAUUUCCAUUUUAAAAUGUCAACUAUUAAUUCAAACCUUAUACAAUCUAUUAUUAUAUUACUAUUUAAAUGACUAGGAAUUUUAUGCUGACAGAUAUUGGAUUGAACAGCAACAAGGAUUUUCUAAGGGUUACUACUGCCAAAUUUGUUCGAGGAAUUUCAAUCAAGCCUGAUGUUCCUCCUCCCCAAGCUUCUAAAUCGAUGGAAGAUUCUUCUCCCCCGGAAGAACAAAAAAAAGACAAGCCCAAGGCCGAGGCUACUGCAGGGCCUGAGGCUGAGGCUUUACCUGAAGCGCCAAUUGUGUUUGUUAGGUCGAAAUCAGAUGGUGAUAUAGAGAGUUUUUCUGUGAAGACGAAAAAGAGGAAAGAGGAACUAAUAGGUCGUGUACCAAAACAGCGUUUAACUAGAACAUCGUCAGGACAACUAGCACAUAGCACAGGUGUUUGUCACUAUGCAUGUUCAGCUCAAAUGUCGAACCCGAAAAGGGCUAAAACCAAAUCAGCCCUGCCUAGUGAGGUGUUACAAUCUGUAUUUUCACCUGAUGCUUUUGACUCAUUCUUCCUGAUAAAGAAUUUGGACACUGGAAAGGAGUUUAUUGUGAAAGAAUCCAAUGAAAAGGGAAUGUGGAAUAAGCUAAAUGACGUUCAAACUGGGAAACAACUUACAAUGGAGGAAUUUGAGAAAUCUGUUGGAUAUUCACAGUUUGUGAAGGAAGUAAUGGCUCGUACUAAUGUCUCAAGGAGUCUUGACGAUGCCAAGAAAGUAAAUAUUAAUUCAUAUCUAACUAAGAGUUUCAGGAAUGGCAAAAGAAUGGGUGCCUAUUUCUUGAAGAACAUCAUGGGAGUGGCAAAUACCAUGAAUGGAAAAGUUGUAGAAAAAGAAGGAGAACAUUCUUCACAAUCUUCACUGGUAGAACAGAGAGCUAAUAAAACUUCGUCACAAUGGAUCAAAGCUCACCAGUAUGGGAAAUCCUACAAAGAAUUUUCAGCUUUGCACAUGUCUCAAGAAAUUCAAGCUCAUGACGGCUCAAUAUGGACGAUUAAGUUUAGCUGGGACGUGUGUUUCCUGGCAAGCACGGGAGAAGAUGGUAUAAUUCAUGUAUGGGAAGUGCAAGAAUGUGAUGUUACGUCAACAAGAUCGCCUGAUAAUACAAAUUCACCGGGGGAAACACCUGCUCACCCGAUGGCAGGCACCACUUCAGAUCAGCCUCCACUAGCAGAGAUUACACCUAUGCCAUCCGCAAUGAAAAGAAGAGGGGGGAAUAAUAGGAAAAAGGGAAACUCGAUUCCAGACUAUGUUAGUAUGCCAGAAACCGUAUUUUCUCUUUCAGAAAAGCCGUUCUGCACUUUCAAAGGUCACCAAGGCCACGUGUUAGAUCUCUCAUGGUCAAAAUCUCAGGUCAGCUUCCCACAUCGUAGUUUCUAGUAUAAGGUAGGAGCGCAAUAAAUUAUUUGAUUCAUUGUAUAAUUCAUUCGUUUUUCUUCCUAAUUAGAACUAGUCGUCUGUAAGAGUCAAGAAAUGGUAAAAAUUUUGAAAUAGAACUCUCUGUUUUCUGAUUCUUAAGAUGACCAUUUAGUUAAUAACUGGAAACAGUUAACAUAAAGGAAUAAAGUUCUAUGCAGCUACUGCUAUCAUCUUCGAUGGACAAGACAGUUAGGCUGUGGGACUUGGAGACAAGAAGCUGUUUAAAGAUGUUUGCACACAAUGAUUAUGGUGAGACACCGAACUUAUGCUGCAAUUAUUCAAUCACCAGGGCCUAAAAAUUGCUUAUGAUUGUUGACGUGUUAUUUGUAUUAGUCCUACUUCUGAUGAGUAUGGUUUGGCAGUCACUUGUGUACAGUUCAAUCCAGUAGAUGAAGAUUAUUUCAUCAGUGGUUCACUUGAUGGAAAGGUCCGAAUUUGGAGCAUACCUGAUCGUCAGGUUGUCAACUGGACAGAUCUCCAUGAGAUGGUUACAGCUGCUUGCUACACUCCUGAUGGCCAGGUACAUACAUCCAAAUUUUCAUACAAUUCUACCGAAACUUGUAUAUGAAAGGACUUUUACAUUACUUCAGUUCAUGUAAAAUCAACUCUGUACAUCUACAUCUCUAUCGAAUUCUUUAGUAACACCACCUGUUUAAAUUCACACCCCAUUUGAAAUCAGAUCUUGAAGAUGAACGAUAUAACUAACUUAUGUUUGUUUGGAGGAUUUACCAGUAAUGUUCUAUGAAUAGGAGAAUCUUAAGACCUUGAUUGGCUCCUGAAUCUGUGAAGUACCAUGCUGAUAAUAAUUCUUUAACUGUUGAAGGGUGCAAUCAUC
rnacentral:lncRNA from 1 species